rnacentral:rRNA from 1 species
AUUGAACGCUGGCGGCAGGCCUAACACAUGCAAGUCGAGCGGAAACGACUUAACUGAACCUUCGGGGAACGUUAAGGGCGUCGAGCGGCGGACGGGUGAGUAAUGCCUAGGAAAUUGCCUUGAUGUGGGGGAUAACCAUUGGAAACGAUGGCUAAUACCGCAUAAUGCCUACGGGCCAAAGAGGGGGACCUUCGGGCCUCUCGCGUCAAGAUAUGCCUAGGUGGGAUUAGCUAGUUGGUGAGGUAAAGGCUCACCAAGGCGACGAUCCAUAGCUGGUCUGAGAGGAUGAUCAGCCACACUGGAACUGAGACACGGUCCAGACUCCUACGGGAGGCAGCAGUGGGGAAUAUUGCGCAAUGGGCGAAAGCCUGACGCAGCCAUGCCGCGUGUGUGAAGAAGGCCCUAGGGUUGUAAAGCACUUUCAUGGGAGGAAAAGUUGUCCGUUAAUAGCGUGCAACCUUGACGUUACCUUAGAAGAAGCACCGGCU